UCAAUGAUCAUGUCACCAAUGAUUUCAACACCCUCUUUCGAUCAGUACCCAUCGAUCGAUCCUACUAUGCAUUCGGAGUUCCAGGAACAUUCCAUGGUAGAUUAUUUCCAUCGCGAUCGAUACAUUUUGCACAUUGUUCUACUGCAAUACAUUGGUUAUCUAAGUGUCCAGAAGAGUUGUUAGAUGAGAAAUCUCCAGCAUGGAAUAAGGGAUUGAUACACUACGCAGGUACAUCAAAUGUUGAAGUGUUGAAUGCUUAUGUUGCUCAAUUUGAAAAAGACAUGGAAAUGAUGGUGAUAAUUUCACCACAAUCAAUUGAACGUCUAGUGAAAUUUUUUGGUUCUUGUCUUAUAGAUUUGGUGAAUGAGGUAAGUAGUUUGUUUGUCUCACUUUUCUUUUUUAAGUAUCUUACAAUAAGAACUUAUAUUUCCUUUUUUUGACAACUUAUUAAUUAGUUUCAGUUUUUAAUGCAUGACACGUUUAUGAUUACAAUAUUAAAAGACACUUUGGUACAUUCCACAUAUAUUUAAUUUGGACCACAAUAUUCAAAAGUCUUCUUUACCUUCUUAAAUUUCAUGUCAAAUCAAAAUAAACAAACAAAUUAAAACGACUUUCUUUUUUGGCAACUUUUAAAUUUCAACUUUUCACUUGACAUGUUUAAGAUCAAAAGAUUAAAGAAUAUUUUGGUACGUUCCACUUAUCUUUAGUUUAGAGACCACAAGAUUCAAUAAUUUUUUUUUAAUUACUUUUUUAAAUUUCGUGUCUAAUCAAAACCAAACAAAAUAAACAAAAUUAGAGAAAAUGCACUGUUUCCACCCUGAACUAUAAAUAAAAUUGUUGAGACAUACUCCAACUUAAAGGGGGUCCUAUAACCCUCCCCCAGACUAAUUAAAAUUGUAUUUUUGGCAACCUUAGUGCCUACGUGGCUCAUUGCGUGAAUCAACACACUGAAGGUCCACGUAGGCACUGAGGUUUUUCAAAAUACGAUUUUAAUUAGUCCAGGGGGUAAUAGGACCCCCUUUAAGUUUGGGUGUAUCUCAACAAUUUUAUUUUUAGUUCAGGGUGAAAAGGGUGCAUUUACCGACAAAAUUAAGCAGAGUAACAAUUAUAGCCAUAUAAUUUUAAUAUUGAUGUUUAUUUCUUUUUGGCAAAGGGAAAAUUAGAUGAAUCUCUAGUUGACUCAUUUAAUGUGCCAGCAUACUCUCCCUCUCCUCAAGACAUGACUAAAGCAGUGGAGAAAAAUGAUUGUUUUAGCAUUAAGAGAAUAGAGUUAACGUAUCCCAAAUCAAAGCUUGUGGAUGAGGCUAACGCAAAGGCUUUACUAAUAAGUUUAAGGGUUGCUUUAGAAGGAGUUUUCAUUAAUCAUUUUGGAAGUGAAAUAGCAGAAGAAGCUUUUGAAAGGACUAUCCUCAAAAGCGAUGAAACUUCAACAUGGAUGAAAACGAAUUAUAAAAAAGCAUGUCAAUUAUUUAUCGCUUUGAAGCGUAAAUAAGUUUCUAUAGAGAAAUUCAUAUAUUAUAUAAUUCAGGUCUAUGGUGUGAUGUGACACAUCUCAUAGAUUGAAAUUUUUAUUUGUCUAUUUUUUUAAAUAUUUUUGACUUUAUCAUCGUACCUUUCACUUAGGGGUCGUUUGGUAGAGUGUAUUGAAAUGUUAAUGCAUCCAUUAGUUUAAUAUGUAUUAGUAGUACCUUGUUUGGUAUACCUUUUUACCCUAUGUAUAACUAAUGCAAGCAUUAGUUAUACACUCUAUUGUGUAUUAAAGUGUGUAUUACUAAUACCUCAAAAUCCAUGGCAUUAGUAAUGCAAUGGAUCUAAUGCACGCAUUAACAUGCUUAAAGACCCUAUUACCCCUCAAAAAAUUUUCUGCAUCCUUUCCAACAUAUAUAUUGAGGGUAUUAUAUAACAAAAAAUUUUUUUUAAUAGAAAUUAUGUAAUUCAUAAUUUUUUUAAUACAUUGAACCAAACACUACAUAAGAAAAAUACAAGCAUAAUUAAUGCCAGCAUAACAAACACAAGCAUUACUAAUACACCAUAUUUUGAAUUAUUCUUAUACACUCUACCAAACGACCCCUUAAUUUGUUCUACAAUUACAUUAAACUACCCACAAUAUGCUUGUAGAAAAUGUUGUCAAUCCUUCUUUUGUAGCACUUUUUUCAAGCUUCAGUGUGACAAAACUAGCCCAAACCUAUUUGACCAGCCCAACUCACAAAGUGAUUUUGAAGAUGUACUGAUUUGAGUCAGCACAAUUGAACCAUCAUAAAUCAACCCAAUGGGCUCAUAAUGAUGCCCAACUUUGUCCCAUAAAGAUAUUUAAACCUACUACUUAUAGUCCAAUUUUUUUAUAUUUUUAAUUUUUUUUAGUUGCUUCAAUUAUAUUCUUUUUCCGUCUUGAAAAAAUUAUUGUAAUAAAUAAUUUUUUAAUAAAAAUAAAGUGAAUUUAAUUCCCCCGAAACUCUAUACCCAGUAUUGGCCGGCUGACGGUGUAAUACGCGCGCCACUCUCGUUUUUACACGUGUAUCCAACCUCAUAUUUACACUUGUCCAAGUGGACAGAUAUAUGCUAUUAAAAUGCGAAAAAAAAAGUCUAGGGAUAAUAGGACCCCCGCAAAGUUCUGUAUGCGCUCAACUGAAAAUCUGAUCAAAGUUCAGAUAUUUUUGUGAGUAUUAUCCCUAAAACAUAUGAGCAUGCAUUUUAAAUUGAGGUUUCUUUCUUUUUUUAUGUAGGGAAUGCUAGAUGAAUCUCUAUUUGACUCGUUUAAUUUGCCAAUGUAUUUUCCUUCUCCUGAAGAUAUGACUAAAGUGGUGGAGAAAAAUGAUUGUUUUAGUAUUGAGAUAAUGGAGUUGACAUAUCUCAAAUCAAAGCUUGUGGAAGAGACUGAUGCAAAGACUUUAUAAUGAUAAAUCUAAGGGCUGUUUUAGAAGGACUAAUAAUAAAUCACUUUAGAAGUAAAAUAGCAAAAGAAGCUUGUGCAAGGACUAUUCUCAAAAGUAAAGAGAUUUCGACAUGGAUUAAAGCGAAUUAUGAGAAAUCAUGUCAAUUGUUUGUCGCUUUGAAGCAUAAAUGAAUUUCUAGGGAGGAAUCUAUGGCAGAAGUUUAGUAACUAGUCGAGCAUUGUCUAAGUAAUUUUCCUUUAAAAUAUUGUCAUUAUUAUCUGCAUUUUAUUUGCUUCGCUUGCUAUAUUAUUUGUUGUUUCUACUGUUCUUGUGACUCUUAUUUUUAGCUAUUUAUUGUUGCUACUGAACUGUUUUUCAUUAUUUUUAACCUAACUUCUUCAAUGAUGUAUUUUCCCUUUUCUUUCAUACUUUGUGAUAUACUAUUUAUUUUGCUUGAACCAAGAAUCUGUUAAAAACACCUCUCUGACUCCAUGGGGGGACUAAUGAUGAUAAUGUACUAAAAUAGUCAACACACAUUCAUAUUUGAAACUUUUCGAAAAAUUGCUCGAGCUUUAGUAAAAUUUAGAGCACAAUCAUAUUUGAAAUGAUUUAUUUCUGAAAGAUCUCUGAUUAAAGGGGAGAUCCCUGAUUUUGUGCAAACGACUUUGUCAAAGAAAAUAACUGAGUAUCCGAAACUCAGAGAGAAAAAAAAAGACUCUGAUACCAAGUUGAAUAAAGAGAGAUUCAGAACAUUACAGAUAAAGGGAUCGUGAUUUCUUUCACGAAUUAGAACAGUAGAGUAUACAUUGAAUUUAUAAAAAGAAAGGGGUCAUAAUUGUCUUCUAAUUACUAGCCUUUCUAAUUACUAGCCUAGUAACCUGAUAGAUCCCUGAUUUAUUCUAAAGGAUCUCUGAUUAAAGGGGAGAUCCCUGAUUUUGUACAAACGACUUUGCUAGGAAAAAAAAACUGAAUAUUCCGAACUUAGAAAGAGAAAAAAAUGAGACUCUGAUAUCAAGUUGAAUAAAGAGAGAUUCAAAACAUUAAAGAUAGAGGUAUCGUGAUUUCUUUCACUAAUUAGAACAGUAGAGUGUACAUUACUUUAUACAAAAAAAAAAAGUAGCUCUAAUUGUCUUCUAAUUACUAGCCUAGUAACAAAGGAUAUCUCUGAUUUAUGAUUAAAGGAUCUCUAAUUAAUGGGGAGAUCUCUGAUUUUCACAAUGCUAAAUAAGCUACGGACUAAAUAAGAUACAUAUUUUAUGAAGCUAAAUAAGCUACGGUUAAUAACUUCCAUCUCAUACUAUUUCAUCUCGAGCUAUCAUCGUUGGCCUUGACAUGAAACCACUAUCUAAGCAUAUAUUUUCAGCCUGAACUUGUGUGCUUAUCCUCUUUGAAUGCAUAAUAAAAUAGCUUUCUCGUUAUAUAUAUUUCACAAAUAAAAUAAAGCAUAAAUUCAUGAAUAAUUUACUAUAUAUAUUAACCGUCAACUAAAUAUUGCAUUAGUUAUAUCAAGAUUAUUUUUUUUCUUAUACAUCCAACCAAACAUAGUGCAUUAAGUAGUUAUGCAUAGAUCAUUUUUUUUCUACCAAUCAAACCGUUUAAAUUGGAUUUGUUAUGUUUUAAAAAGAUACUUUCUGCGUUUGGUUUUACUUCAUUAAUAAAAAUAAUGUUUACAUUGUCUUAAAAUUAAUUUAAAGAAAAUAUAACUAAUGCUAAGGGUAAAAUAGGAAAAAAGAAAUUUUUUUUUUUUAUAUGUCAAAAAUGACUGUGAAAGUAGAAACACAAUUAGGAAAUUAGUGACAAGUAAAAGUGAACAGAGGAUGUAUUAAAUAUUCAUUCUCGUCUUACAAGUCAACUGUGUGUGAUAUUAUCAUCCAUUUUGAUAAGAUUAUUCUUGAGGAAUAAAUUUAAAACAUAAAUGGUUCCAAAUCAAUUAUUUUUCCUCAAAUUCAACAAUAAUUAUAUUAACGUUGAAAGCAGAGUCUCGUGCUGAUAACGUAUUAUGAAAUAACUAAGAAUAAAGAAGAAAAGUAUAGAGAGAAUAGAUCAACUAGAUUUUGAUAGAUCUUAUCUAUAUAGACAUUCAAUAUAAUGUAAAUACAUUUAUAACAUAUGUAUUAAAUUUAAACAAAUAAAUCCAAGACUUUUUAUUAAGUUUUUUUUUAGGCUAAUUUCCUGCUUUUAUAAAGUAAAAAAUUUAAUAGCUUGUUUGGUUGAAGUGAUAAAGAAAAAUACUUAAAUAGUAUAAAAUCUCUCAUAAAUAUAGAAAUUACAAAUUUAACUCAUGAAACCAUGAUUUGUCCAACUUACUCAAAUUUAUUAAUUUAUCUCAUUUAAAAGUGAAUUAGGUUGAUAAGUAGUACAAAUUAACCCAUAAAAAAAUUGUCAUAAUAUUUUUUUGGAGAUUAUAAAUUAUAUAUAGCUAUAAUAAAAAAAAUAAUUUUAUUAAUUCAUCACAGAAUUAUAAAAGGACAAAUAAAAAAAAUUGUAACUUAAUAAGAAUUUAUUUCUGUCCAACACAUGCAUGCCAUUUAGUCAAAAUAAAGCAAUUUAAUUUCUUUGGCCCAACACUAUUUUAGUGAAAUUGCCAACAUUUCUCUGGUUGCUUGAUUAUGAAAUGUCUCAUUAUAAUCACUUUUAGUAGUUUGAUAAAUAUGAUUAACUGACUAUAUUUAUGUAAUAUUAAAAUUGGUUCCCAGCUAAUCAAACACAAACCUCCAUUCACCCUGUGCAUUCAUUUUGGGAUAUUUUCAAAAAUAUACCAUUUGAAAAAAAUAAUUAUAUUAUUAGCUCGUUGCAUGGGCUUUACCUAGUGCGGUUUACAUCUCCUGUGUGGUUUACGAGCAAUUGCACAGCGAGGGGUUUACCCAGUGCUCACCACAGAGUGCUCACCCAAAGGGCAGAUGUUGUAGCGGCUCUAGGUUAUCUUGAAAUUUCAAAAAAAAAAAAAAAACAUUAUGCGACUUUAUAUAAUAUUAUGAAUUUACGGUAUAAAAAUCUCUCUCUCUCUCUCUCUCUCUAUAUAUAUAUAUAUAUAUAUAUAUAUAUAUAUAUAUAUAUACUAGUUUAGCUAGACAUGCCUCGCACGUGUAACAUUUGAUUAUUUAAAAUUAAAUGAUUUUAUCUAUUGCAAAGAUUUUAAUGAAGUGUAAAAGUUUAAAUCACUUUAAAAGAUUCUUCACACUUUAAUAUAAUAACGUAAACAUAAACAUACUUUUUACUGUAAGCACACAUAUAUAUUUUGCAUCAUCACUUUUACGUUUGUUAUGCAGUACCUCCUUCCCUUGAUGUCAUAGACUAAGAGAGACGCAACAAUUUGAAUCAUAUUUGUGAUAUGGUUAUUUUUUUUUUUGUUUCUAUAUUUAAAAUUCUUCCUUGUUUUUAAAGUCAAAUAUUUACAAAUUCAUUGUUAUUACGUACUUAAAACUUUUUAAAAUUUGGAACUUUUUGAUUUUUUUCUUAUUUUAACGCUUUUACAUUUAUUUCUAGGUUUUUCAAAUCUUCUUUAAAUCACUUAAAACUUUUAAACAUUUGGUACUUUUUGAAUUUUUCUUAUUUUAACGCUUUUAUAUUUAUUUCUAGAUUUUUCAAAUCUUCUUUAAAUCAAAUUUAGUUGAUUUAGAAUUCUAAAAUUAAUGAAAAAAAAUAUUAGUUAUCAUUAAUUCUGAUGACUUCUAAUAAGGAAAGAUUUUACCAUAAAUAUAUUUAAUUAAUUUUCAACUCUUUUAUAUUAGUAAAAAAAAUAGUGAAAGAUUUUACCAUAAAUAUAUUUAAUUAAUUUUCAACUCUUAAAUAUAAAUAUUAGAAAAAAAUAGUGAACAUACGAUUUUGUCUAAUGCAAAAAACUUUUAAUGAAGGGCAAAAAGUUCAAAUUACAUUUCUAAGACCCUUCACACUUUUAAUAUAUUAUAGAUAUAUCACACCCCUUUUUCCACUCCGAAAGGAUAAGAUUUUCAGUUUGAAAGGAUUUUUAUUAUUAAAGUGACAAAAGAUUAAAAAUUUAUUUUGAAAAAGGACUAUUUACAUUUUUUAUUCAGAGUCGUCACUUGGCAUAAUCCGGUGUGCCAAGUCACCUUUGGAAAAUCCUUUUCAAAACUGUUUUGACUUUUUUAAAACUGGUUUGCGAACAGAGAUUCCAGCUAAGGAAUUCUGUUGACCGAGGAAAAGGUGUUAGGCACUCCUCGAUUCCGUGGUUCGACCAUGGUCGCUUGGUAGAGUGUAUCGGCUAAUUUUAAUACUAUGAAUGUACAAACCACACACAAAAAAAAGAUCAAUCAAACAAACAAAUCCAAAACAAUGUCCAGUCCAAAUUAUACAAUCCCAAAAAUUGUAAUAAAAAAAUGCAAAAAUGUAAAUCGUAUUCUAAACUAAUCCUAGACUAAUGCUCUACCCAACGCUUCGGGUCUUUCUCACGAAUGUAUUUCGAGUACAAGAUACCUCGGGGCAUUCCCCGACUAAAUAAAUACAUUUUUCAGUGUCAGAAAAUCUAAACUAUUCAAUAGAACUUCAAACAUUCAACAGAAUUUCAAAUAUUCGACCAAACACUUAAUCCUAAAUUUUUGCCUACCCAAACCUAUAUUUACCUAUCCGUUGCAACAUGAUCCUAUCAAGUUCACAAACCUGAUAUUUAUUCCAAAUUAAACAAAGCAACAAUAGAUCAAAGUUAACCCAAAUGCAUCUUACCAAACAUGCAAUUCCCAUCCCUCAUUUCAUGCUCAAUCACACGCUUAAUUCAUUCUUCGAUUAACGAUUCAAUUUUCUCUUCAAAAUCCAAAACCAACCUCAACCGUACACACAAAAAAUAUUCAAGCAUGGCAAGCACACAAAGACAUUCAUCUACAAAAAUAAUCGAGAUUCAAGAUAAAGAUAGAGAACGAGAGAAGAAAUGGACCUCAAAUUUUGCUUUUAUGAAUGUUAUCCUGUUGAAACAAAAGAGAAUUCGCGCCGAGAACCUCGACAAUGAACCAAACUCCAACCCGGUAUUUGGGAAAUUGUAACCUCGAACAGAGUAUUUGGGAAAUUGUAACCUCGAACAGAGUAGCAACAGAGCAAUCUGCCCAGAAACUAUUUCAACAAAGGAAAAUCGAUGAACCCAAAGCCCGAUUUUGAAACUAAAAUGCUAAGACAGAUGAUCCAAAGCCUCAGUCAACACAAUAAAAGACCAAAACUGAUGUAUCUUGAGCUUCGGUGAGCUCAGACGGAAGCAAAACACAACGGAUUAAGACAGAUUCUGGAUCGACGAGGCCUAAAACCGCUGGACAACCACUGGUUCCGGCGAGACUAGCUGUUUGACUGUUUCCGACCAGAUUCAUCCAAGAUAGGGAGAAAACCUAGAGAUUCCGGUGAAGUAGUCGCCUGAACAGUGACUAAACGCACAAAAAAAUCUUUUUCCCCUUUGAUUCUCACUUCAUCUCACCCACUUUUCUUCUUUUCUCAUUGUUUUCACUCAUGUUUUCGAAUUUCAAUCAGUGUGUAUGUAGUGUGUUUGUGAAGAAAAGAAAGAAAUGAAAAUGGAGCUCUUUAAGUGGUCUGUGUUAGGAGUGUGCAUCAAUGGUGGAGUUCUAUUGUUGUUCUACCAUGGAAAUUAAAAAAAAAUGGAGGUGGUCUAUAUUUCUAAAGUGGGGUGAGGGUCAAAGAAAGAAAGAAAAAACAUUGAGAGUCGUUCCCUGAUGAAGAUGAUCCUAAAAAAAAAAUGGGUCCUCUUUUCCUUUUCCUUUGUGAUCAAGAAAUGUGAGGAAAAAAACGGGGGCACUUGAGUGGGGGGUGAGAUGAUUUAUUUUGAUUGGGUAGGUUGUUAGGAUAAGAUAAAAUUAGGUAGAGGUUAUUGUUUUGUUAUUUUGUGGAGGGAUUAUAACAUGGGUGAGGGUACAUGGUAGGAUAAAGUAAAAAAUAGGUAAAAAUAAUAUCGGGGAGAAACGAAAUUAGGUGUCUACAAGAUAUAGAUUAUAG
rnacentral:lncRNA from 1 species